UCGGGAAUUUUGCUCAAUGGGCGAAAGCCUGAAGCAGCAACGCCGCGUGAGGGAUGACGGCCUUCGGGUUGUAAACCUCUUUUUUCGGGGACGAUAAUGACGGUACCCGAAGAAUAAGCCACGGCUAACUACGUGCCAGCAGCCGCGGUAAUACGUAGGUGGCGAGCGUUGUCCGGAUUUACUGGGCGUAAAGAGCGCGCAGGCGGUCGUGCAAGUCGGAUGUGAAAUCCCCCGGCUCAACUGGGGAGGGUCAUUCGAUACUGCUCGACUCGAAGGCGGGAGAGGGAAGCGGAAUUCCCGGUGUAGUGGUGAAAUGCGUAGAUAUCGGGAGGAACACCAGUGGCGAAGGCGGCUUCCUGGCCCGUUCUUGACGCUGAGGCGCGAAAGCUAGGGGAGCAAACGGG
rnacentral:rRNA from 1 species